rnacentral:rRNA from 1 species
GAUGAACGCUGGCGGCGUGCCUAAUACAUGCAAGUCGAGCGAACGGACGAGAAGCUUGCUUCUCUGAUGUUAGCGGCGGACGGGUGAGUAACGCGUGGAUAACCUACCUAUAAGACUGGGAUAACUUCGGGAAACCGGAGCUAAUACCGGAUAAUAUUUUGAACCGCAUGGUUCAAAAGUAAAAGACGGUCUUGCUGUCACUUAUAGAUGGAUCCGCGCUGCAUUAGCUAGUUGGUAAGGUAACGGCUUACCAAGGCAACGAUGCAUAGCCGACCUGAGAGGGUGAUCGGCCACACUGGAACUGAGACACGGUCCAGACUCCUACGGGAGGCAGCAGUAGGGAAUCUUCCGCAAUGGGCGAAAGCCUGACGGAGCAACGCCGCGUGAGUGAUGAAGGUCUUCGGAUCGUAAAACUCUGUUAUUAGGGAAGAACAUAUGUGUAAGUAACUGUGCACAUCUUGACGGUACCUAAUCAGAAAGCCACGGCUAACUACGUG